CCAAACUGUUGCCUCGGCGGGAUCUCUGCCCCGGGUGCGUCGCAGCCCCGGACCAAGGCGCCCGCCGGAGGACCAACCUAAAACUCUUAUUGUAUACCCCCUCGCGGGUUUUUUUUAUAAUCUGAGCCUUCUCGGCGCCUCUCGUAGGCGUUUCGAAAAUGAAUCAAAACUUUCAACAACGGAUCUCUUGGUUCUGGCAUCGAUGAAGAACGCAGCGAAAUGCGAUAAGUAAUGUGAAUUGCAGAAUUCAGUGAAUCAUCGAAUCUUUGAACGCACAUUGCGCCCGCCAGUAUUCUGGCGGGCAUGCCUGUCCGAGCGUCAUUUCAACCCUCGAACCCCUCCGGGGGGUCGGCGUUGGGGAUCGGCCCUCCCUUAGCGGGUGGCCGUCUCCGAAAUACAGUGGCGGUCUCGCCGCAGCCUCUCCUGCGCAGUAGUUUGCACACUCGCAUCGGGAGCGCGGCGCGUCCACAGCCGUUAAACACCCAACUUCUGAAAUGUUGACCUCGGAUCAGGUAGGAAUACCCGCUGAACUUAAGCAUAUCAAUAAGCGGAGGAA
rnacentral:rRNA from 1 species